CUCUUGGUCUGGUUUCUGAGUCUCGGGGGCUCCUCGGGACCCUGUGCCCCUUAGGGGUCUGGAGUCUUUCAGUAUGUGGUUCUACAAAGGAAGAACCAAGUCCAGAACCCUGGGAAAGCUGGGCUUCUAAUUCUGAUCGCUGUGGAAUAUUCUUUAGGAUCUUUGGAAGGGAAGAAUAGCAAUGGUUCCAAGCAGCUCCCUGAUUUGCUUUCCUCCAGUCAGACCAGAUCUCCGAAUGUCACUGCUUAAGAAGACAAUGUCAGCUGCAGAUAAAGUUGGCAGAGCUGAGUGGUGCCCCCCUGCCUUCAGAGGGUUCAGGGUUCAGACCCCAAGAAAAGUGCAAACAAAAUAUAGAGGCACCGUUUGGAGACUGUCCCUGCUACAGUUUGGGGACGGCAUCACACUGGACAUGCGGCCUUGCCUUCUGAUGUGGGAAAGACUGCUUGAACCCACUGCUGAUGACAGGAACCGGAGGAGACAUUGUAGACCAUGUGGUAGAUGAGGAUGAAGGAGUAAACAGAAAGAUGGAAGCUGGGUCCUUUGUCCUAUAGAUUCUUCAUCAACUCUACACCCUGUU
rnacentral:lncRNA from 1 species